rnacentral:misc_RNA from 1 species
GAAAUGCGAUAAGUAGUGUGAAUUGCAGAAUUCAGUGAAUCAUCGAAUCUUUGAACGCACAUUGCGCCCCUUGGUAUUCCAUGGGGCAUGCCUGUUCGAGCGUCAUUUACACCCUCAAGCUCUGCUUGGUGUUGGGCGUCUGUCCCGCUGCUUUGCGCGGACUCGCCCCAAAGGUAUUGGCAGCGGUCCCGCCAGCUUCUCGCGCAGCACAUUGCGCUUCUCGAAGCCCUGGCGGAUCAGCGUCCACCAAGCAACCUCUAUGACUUGACCUCGGAUCAGGUAGGGAUACCCGCUGAACUUAA